rnacentral:tRNA from 1 species
GGGGGUAUAGCUCAGUGGGAGAGAUUUGACUUCAGAUCAAGAGAUUGCUGGGUUAAAUCCAGAUUCCCCUC